rnacentral:sRNA from 1 species
UGAAUGGGAAUCGGAACCUUGACUCUGUUUAUCAUUUUCUCUUUUGAAUUUCUUUCCCCGUGGGAUCACUUGCUCAAUUUAUAGAGACUGAACUGGAUAUUUCCAAUCACAAUACGGAGGCGUAAAAGUCCUUGGUCUGGUUACAUUCCACGCUCAAUGGGCUACUUUAUCAACUUGGAUUGAAUACUUUAUCAGCUACAGUUUAUGUGUCUAUCGCAGGCUCAAUUCUCCGUAUCAGGCUUGAAUACAUCCUCCAUAUUUUAAGAUAUAACGAAAAGGUUUGCCCCCUAAGCAAUCCCGAGAAGACAACAAUAUUCAGAGCAAGGAUUUUAUUGUCGUGGCACCACCAGCUUUGGGGAUAUCAUUCACGAGAAUACUGCAAGGCGGGACAAAGGACCAGGAACGAGAGAACAACGGCAGAAACGGAAGAAAUAAUAACACUCUGCAUCCAAGGUGAGAGUCAAUAUUAUUACUACGCUCCGCCCCAUAUUUUCAAAAAAUCCUUCAAAAUUUAGGUCAUUACUUUGGCGUCAAAGAAGGGGGGAAAUUAAAGCAAAAAUGAAAAGAAACAAUCGCACAUCCACAUAUGCUGACCCCUUCUUGCUGUCUCUUCAACUAGUAUUCGUACGAUGCCUAAGUUCAAGUAAAGGACUAUCUCUUCGUAUGGCAAGUUGUGGGACAUAUGUCGUUUUAACAUGCAAUUAUAUCGUGAGACAAUAGCCUACUAGCUAAGGGAUUUUCUAAGUAGAAUCGGAUGGCAAAUUUGCUUUAAAACAAUUUUCCUUCCCCUUUUUUUUUUUUUUUUUUUUUUUCACUUUAUAUGAUUUUCCUUCUUUGGCCACUUACUCAGGCCGGGUGCGACGGCCUCUACCGGUGCCAGACGACCUGUAUUGUUGUUUUCUGUUAGCCUGCUUGUCGCUGGCACGGAAAAUAUGGACUCAAAGAUAAAUCGUGAUAAACUUACAUGCUGAUCCUUCUAGCAAUAUUAGUCAGACCAGUAUCAUUCUCUGCCUCCUGGGCAGCACGUUCCAAGGCUUGUUUCCGCUCCUCUUCAUUCCUCCUAAUCACUUCCUCGUGGGUUGGUGGAAGCCGCUCGUUCUGCAAAUCAACCUUGCGUGCAUCUUCGAAGUUAUGAAUUGCUUGCUUGAUACCCUCUGCUCCAAGCAUGAGGGUGCCUGCAGGAAGGCGGCCACCUGAGGCAGUUUUGAGUUCUGUGACUCGCUCUGCUUCCUCGCGUAGCACUUGGAAGACCCGCGAGAGACGACCAAUAGCUAGAAUCUUGUUCUUGAUCGCUCGUCUCUUAAAUUCGGUACUCUCGGGAUCCAUCGGAAGGGGGGGCGAUGCGCGGUCGGAAGAUACAGACGAAGAGGGUUCUUCCUCCAGCUCUUCUUUGGAGCAAGUAUUCAAAAUGGCGAUAAGCAUAUCGGUAAUCUUCUCACCGACAAAGGGGAGAGACCAGGUAAAAACGUCCAUGAAAUUAGGUAACCAGUAAGGAUGGGGAGUGCAAUUGAACUGUCUAAUGUUCAUUACGUUGUUCUCGUAUUUCAAAACGGCGGCUUUGUUGUUGUAAACGUCGAGAUAGUUUGGCGCACUGAAUAUCGUCAUUACGCUGGGGAACCCGGUCGUUCUGGUCUUCCUAUACAUUCUGUACCCUGCAUCCUGUGCUUCAUGGGCUCGAAUUAUGGAAAGUAAAUUGUUUUUUUCCAGGAAUGCGCAAGCGGCGGGGUAAGAGAAAAAGUAUGAACAUCCUCGAACGUUAUUGUGCACAAAAUAUUCACCUGUUUUCUCCUGACCAAAUUCCUCCAAUGGAUCAGCCCAAAGGAUAUCGCACAUGAGUCCUUGAGUCGGGGGCUCUCUAAAACGGUCGAUCGAUUUCAGGUCCUCUAAUGUAUGCAGUUCGGGGCUAAGACCACCAUGAAUGCAAAGGAACUGUUUGUUCAUAAUGGCCGCGAGUGGUAACGAGCAGAAUGAUUCCGUGCACGCAUCGUAGACUCUCUCCGAGUACUUGUGCUUACAUUCUAGUUUGAAAGUGAAAUAGUCUGUAAGAUGACGACACUCGUGAUUGCCGCGUAACAACCAUAAACUAUUUGGAUACCAUAUUUUCAAGGCCC